AUGAACACAUCUGAAUCCACGAUGGACAGCACUGUCUUCAUCACCAAAGACACUCUUCUGCCCAUUGUUAAGAAAUAUUUCGAUGCAAUCUCUGCAGCCCAGUGGGCACUGCUGGCUACAGGCCCUUUGGACACAGAUACAAUUUCCAUUCUGGCAGACAUGAUCACGGAAGUGAUUCAGACUGCCACCAUGAAAACUGCCCAAUUUAUCGUUGAGGAGUGCGUGGCCAGGAGUGAAUCUCUGGCUGAUACAAGUGCACCUUUAGAGACUUUAAAAGCUCAACUAGGAGUCUCCCUCAAUGGCAGUUUUGCUGACGCUCUGCGCAUCCCACUGCAGAUGUGUCAGUGUGCAGACACACUGACCGAAAUGGUGGUGAAGGAGGUGUCACAGAAAGUCAAUUCUGUUGUGCCGACUGCCAUCAACUGCCCCAGCUGGCCGGAGAAGCCUGCAAUUUUUAUCCUGGGCAACAUCUCAAACACAGUGUCUCUUCGGCGCAUGGUGUUCCAAGUGUCCUCAUGUCUGAAGGGAUAUUUAGCUAAAGUGGAAUACCGGUGUCAGUGUUGGCGGCCAAAAAGCCCAAAAAGAUCUGAAUGUCCAGAUGAUAUCCUGGAAUCUGAAGAAGAAGAAUCUAUUGAGAGUAUCAAGUCUGCAAUCUCUGUCCACAGUGUGACCAAAGCUGUCACUGACAUCCUUGUCAGCUGGUCCAGUGAGAACCCAGAGAUUGCUCACACUCCUUCAUUUCUCACCAUCCUGGAUGCGGAGGCUGCAGCACCAGAAAUAGUCAGGAAUGCACUUGAGACCCUGCAUUAUCCUGACAUUGAAGAUUGUGCUAGGGACAGUGAGGAAAGCCUUGUUCCAAUACCUCAUUUUAACAUGAGGUCAAUAGUUGGCAAGGUCCGAGACUUUUAUACCUCACAAGCCUCAAUUAACAAAGACACCACAGACAACAGCCAGACUGCUCGCAGACUCAGCUUUCUAAAGUUUGCCAAGAAUCAGUACAAAAAGAUGAUGGCACAGCUGAUGAAGGCAAGUCACAAAGAACAUCCAGACUUUCUCGUGAGUCUCCGACAGGAUUCAGGAUCCUCUCAGCAGAGACUGACGGAAGAGGACGACGCCAGCAAAGAGGUUUUAGAACAAACUGUUCCAGAGUCUCCAACGCCAGAAUCUGAGGCUGGCAGUCAAAGCAACAUGGCAUCAACAGCAGAGAUCAAGAAGCUGUCUUCAGUAGAUUUUGAGACAAUCAAAACCGAUCUUGACAGCUUGUUUCAGCAGUUAAUCUCCCCAGAUAAACCUGCAGUACUUGGGACCAAAACACUGGAAAACACCAUGUCCAGUGAGCACAUCAGAAAGUUUGCUAAGGAACUGACUGAUAAAUUGUGUGAUCACCUGAUGAGCAUUCAGACAUUUCAACGUUCUGCUGCUCCGAUGACAAGAAGUCUGUCCUACUCUGUUAUCUCAGAGCUCAGGAGGGAGGUGGACGCCACCACUCAGUUCCCCUUUUCUCCUGAUGUGAUGUAUUUAAUGACAGAGGACUCAGUCAGGAAGUUCCUACAGCAGGUGCUACUCUGGGUCAACAUGGAGCCAUCAAACAAAUCAAGUCGCGGCAAUGCAGUGCAUGGUGCACUGAAAGACAUUGAGGGGCUUAUAACUAAAAUGCUGACCACACCAGAGGACAAGAAUGUCAUCGAGCCAGAGGACAAGAACGUCAUCGAGCCAGAGGACAACAACAUUAUCGAGCCAGAGGACAAGAACGUCAUCGAGCCAGAGACCUGUGAGGUAUCGAGCUUUGAAGAGUCCAUCAGCGGACUUUCAGUAGUGUCGACCAACACCUCAACUACACCUACACAUAAAGUACAGAGGAUAACCACCAAAAUCAUCACUGCUCUGGUCAUGAGAAUGAUUAGAAAGGCCCCUCAAAAGACCAUAAAAGGCAUUCAGACGGAAGACAUCAAUGCCGUCAUUAAGCGUCUGACAGACAAGGCGCAGGUCCAGAUCGUCGUCACUGACUCUGCUGUCAGAAAAAUUAAGCACAGCAUGAAAAAAGUGAACAAAGCAGUGAUGGAGGAUCUUAAAGAGGAAUUUGGCUCUCAAGAACUGCUCCUGGAGGCUGCAAUGGGAUCAGACCCCGUGUCCUUUGAUGAGGCUUUUGUUAAGCAACUAAAAAGCCAACUGAACGUCCUCCUCAGUACAAACAAAAAGGGUGCAGCUGUCAGGUUUUUUAGAGCAGUGGGAAACGCUCUUACCAAGCCCUUCAGGUGCUGCAUCGUGGGCUGCAGCAGUGAGUAA
ensembl:lncRNA